UACGUAGGUGGCGAGCGUUAUCCGGAAUUACUGGGCGUAAAGCGCACGCAGGCGGUCUUUUAAGUUUGACGUGAAAGCUCCCGGCUUAACUGGGAGAGGUCGUUGAAGACUGGAAGACUUGAGGCAAUGAGAGGGGUGUAGAAUUCCCGGUGUAGUGGUGGAAUGCGUAGAUAUCGGGGGGGAACACCAGUGGCGAAGGCGGCUCACUGGCCCGGUACUGACGCUGAGGUGCGAAAGCGUGGGGAGCAAACAGG
rnacentral:rRNA from 1 species